rnacentral:antisense_RNA from 1 species
CUUGAGCGAGCCCAGCCACAGCGGUUGUUCGGCGGGCCGGUCCUGGCCGUAGACGGCGAGCAGCGCCUGGGCCUC